rfam:Cyphellophora europaea CBS 101466 unplaced genomic scaffold supercont1.5, whole genome shotgun sequence.
GGUGCCUUAGUGCAGUGGUCAGCACGUUUCGUUGUGGUCACUAGACUCUACCAGUCUGCUAGUACAAUUACUACUCCCGAAGAGACCUGGGUUCAAAUCUCAGAGGCGCCA